rnacentral:rRNA from 1 species
GAGUUUGAUCAUGGCUCAGGAUGAACGCUGGCGGCGUGCCUAAUACAUGCAAGUCGAACGGAGACAGUAGCAAUAUUGUCUUAGUGGCGAACGGGUGAGUAACGCGUUGGCAACCUGCCCCGAAGAGUGGGAUAACGGUCCGAAAGGGCCACUAAUACCGCAUGUGAUCCCGAGGAACAGAUACUUGGGAUGAAAGGAGCAAUUCGCUUCGGGAGGGGCCUGCGUCCAUCAGCUAGUUGGUAAGUAACGGCUUACCAAGGCGAUGACGGGUAGGGACCUGAGA